GUAUUUUGAGGUGGUAAAUUUCGUGGAAACCACACACCAGUAAAAGCUGGUCAAAAGAGAUGUAGGAGAACGCCACGCCUACCAUAAUAC
rnacentral:ncRNA from 12 species